GAUGAACGCUGGCGGCGUGCCUAAUACAUGCAAGUCGAGCGAAUGGAUUAAGAGCUUGCUCUUAUGAAGUUAGCGGCGGACGGGUGAGUAACACGUGGGUAACCUGCCCAUAAGACUGGGAUAACUCCGGGAAACCGGGGCUAAUACCGGAUAACAUUUUGAACCGCAUGGUUCGAAAUUGAAAGGCGGCUUCGGCUGUCACUUAUGGAUGGACCCGCGUCGCAUUAGCUAGUUGGUGAGGUAACGGGUCACCAAGGCAACGAUGCGUAGCCGACCUGAGAGGGUGAGCGGCCACACUGGGACUGAGACACGGCCCAGGCUCCUACGGGAGGCAGCAGUAGGGAAUCUUCCGCAAUGGACGAAAGUCUGACGGAGCAACGCCGCGUGAGUGAUGAAGGCUUUCGGGUCGUAAAACUCUGUUGUUAGGGAAGAACAAGUGCUAGUUGAAUAAGCUGGCACCUUGACGGUACCUAACCAGAAAGCCACGGCUAACUACGUGCCAGCAGCCGCAGUAA
rnacentral:rRNA from 1 species